rnacentral:rRNA from 1 species
UACGUAGGGUGCGAGCAUUAAUCGGAAUUACUGGGCGUAAAGCGUGCGCAGGCGGUUUUGUAAGCCAGAUGUGAAAUCCCCGGGCUUAACCUGGGAAUGGCAUUUGGGACUGCAAGGCUUGAGUGCGGCAGAGGAGACGUGGAAUUCCUGGUGUAGCAGUGAAAUGCGUAGAUAUCAGGAGGAACACCGAUGGCGAAGGCAGGUCUCUGGGCUGACACUGACGCUCAUGCACGAAAGCGUGGGGAGCAACAGGAUAGAAACCAGUAAGAUCCAGACCAGUCUCGUGCUAACCGUAA